rnacentral:rRNA from 1 species
GUAGGGGGCAAGCGUUGUCCGGAAUCAUUGGGCGUAAAGAGCGUGUAGGCGGCCCGGUAAGUCCGUUGUGAAAGUCGAGGGCUCAACCCUCGAAUGCCGGCGGAUACUCCCGGGCUAGAAUCCGGAAGAGGCGAGUGGAAUUCCUGGUGUAGCGGUGAAAUGCGUAGAUAUUCGGAGGAACACCAGUGGCGAAGGCGGCUCGCUGGACUUUUGCUGACGCUGAGACGCGAAAGCGUGGGGAGCAAACAGGAUUAGAUACCCUGGUAGUCCACGCUGUAAACGAUGAGAGCUAGUUGUCGGCACGCAUGCGUGUCGGUGACGCAGCUAACGCAUUAAGCUCUCCGCCUGGGGAGUACGGCCGCAAGGUUA